AUCAGAGUGGGCGCAGCGGAAGCGUGGUGGGCCCAUAACCCACAGGUCCCAGGAUCGAAACUUGGCUCUGAUA
rfam:Ipomoea nil DNA, scaffold: scaffold1801, cultivar: Tokyo-kokei standard.